rnacentral:tRNA from 1 species
GGUUCCACAAGAGUAGUGGUUAGCACGUCUGCUUUACACGCAGAAGGUCCUGGGUUCGAGCUCCGGUGGAGCCA